rnacentral:rRNA from 1 species
AUGGUGAGAAUGCUGAUGUUGUGGUUACUGGAGAUGAGAACGUGUAGCCUGACCAAACCAAGCCUAAGAGCUGUGUCCCUCACUCUGUUGAGCAUGUUUUGGUUGCACUGGUUAGUUGUUAAAGGCUUAGCAGUACCAACCAUGGUGCUGGUGCCGCGGACUCCCCGAUGUGCGCGGCCUCACCGCUCGUCCCUUCUGGCUGCACCUCCCCAUGUCAUGCUGCAGUUUAUCCCUUGUCGAAGUUCUUAUGUGAUUCAUCUCAUACGCAUCGUUGGCUGUUCUCUUUCGGCUUUUCAAGGUUUCAUCUUCCUCCUUGAAGCUUACUUUCUUAUGUUCAUUUGA